rnacentral:rRNA from 1 species
AGAACGAACGCUGGCGGCAUGCCUAAUACAUGCAAGUCGAACGAACACUUCGGUGUUAGUGGCGCACGGGUGCGUAACGCGUGGGAAUCUGCCCUUGGGUUCGGAAUAACAGUUGGAAACGACUGCUAAUACCGGAUGAUAUCGAAAGAUCAAAGAUUUAUCGCCCAGGGAUGAGCCCGCGUAGGAUUAGCUAGUUGGUGAGGUAAAGGCUCACCAAGGCGACGAUCCUUAGCUGGUCUGAGAGGAUGAUCAGCCACACUGGGACUGAGACACGGCCCAGACUCCUACGGGAGGCAGCAGGUGGGGAAUAUUGGACAAUGGGCGAAAGCCUGAUCCAGCAAUGCCGCGUGAGUGAUGAAGGCCGUUAGGGUUGUAAAGCUCUUUACCGGAUGAUAUGACAGUACCGGAGAAUAAGCCCGCUAACUCCGUGCCAGCAGCCGC